rfam:Mariniradius saccharolyticus AK6 contig13, whole genome shotgun sequence.
AGUGCAAGCCGACUUGUCGCUGGCCAUUCCGAAUUCUUUCGGAAUUGGAAAGAGGAAAGUCCGGGCAACAUAGAGCGCCAUACUUCCUAACAGGAAGGCAGCUUGUUGGCGACGACAAGCUGACAGACAGUGCCGCAGAAAAUAUACCGCCCCGAUCUCAUUUGGGAUUGGGGUAAGGGUGAAAAGGUGGAGUAAGAGCCCACCGCCCCAACAGCGAUGAAGGGGGCACGGUAAACCUUAUGGGUUGAAAGACCAAAUAGGUUCCGCCCUGGGACUUGUUCCAGACAAGGUUGCUCGCCUUGAUGCGGAACGGGUAGGUCGAUUGAGCGCUGGUGUAAACCUGCGCCUAGAUAGAUGGCAGGUAAAUCCCCAAAAAGGGAGGAACAGAACCCGGCUUAUAGGCUUGCACUUUUU